CGCCAACACUGGGACUGAGACACUGCCCAGACUCCUACGGGAGGCUGCAGUCGAGAAUCAUUCGCAAUGGGCGAAAGCCUGACGAUGCGACGCCGUGUGAGCGAUGAAGGCCUUUGGGUUGUAAAGCUCUUUCGCCUGGGAACAAGAGAAGUGGAUUAAUAAUCCCCUAAUUUGAGGGUACCAGGUAAAGAAGCACCGGCUAACUCCA
rnacentral:rRNA from 1 species